CCUUUAAGUAGGUGAUAAUUUAACAACUACAUUAAUCAAAUGUAAGGAAAUGAAAACUGCACGCUACUCUGUUACAGGGAUUCAGUAAUAUCUCAAAUCAGAUUAAUAUUUGAAAGUUCUAGUGUCAAAUAAGGAAAAUAAGACAUUCAAGAGUAUUAACUGAAAAAACACUGGCAGCCCAAAAGUAUGGGCCUUUUGUGUCACAACUUUAUCUAAUGAUGUCAGGGACAGCAGGUAAAUGGAACACUGAUGUCACAGUGAUAGGCUCUAGAAUGUUAAAGUAGAACACAUAGAGACAUGUUGUCAGUUGUAUGAGCAAGGAGUUGAGAGUACACACAUAAACUUUUAAGCAGCAGUUUUUGAGACAUUGAGACUUUUCAUAUAUCUUGUAAGAACUAUUGAGUCCCCUUUCAGGAUUUCCACAAUGGACCGACUUAGUGAGGAUCUGAGAGCAGCCCUGAGUAAAACCAUAGCAUAUGAGCUGGAACUGGUUCUUGCUGAAAUGGCUGAGGAGGCACAGUACAAGGAGCAAGCCAUGAGGGUGACUCUGGAAAAGCUUCUACAGGACAUCACAGAGCUUGAGGACUCCGGGGAGACAGAGAAACAGGAGUGGCAAAGAGAGAGA